rfam:Chromohalobacter salexigens DSM 3043, complete genome.
GAUAGCUUGACGGGGUGCCGGUGGAACCGGCUGAGAUCGUCCUGCGCCGCGACUCAUACGAAGCGCGGCGCCACGACGGAUCCCGACGAACCUGAUCCGGCUAGUACCGGCGUAGGGAUCAAGCGGAGACCGCGG